AGCAUUAUUCAGUUCUAUCAUUUUAGUUUAACAUAUUUUCUGUGGAAAAUAUGAUUCUUAAUUUUGGUAGUUGGCAGAUGCUUCUUUCAGCCACUAGAGGUCGCUGGAAAACAGCAGCAUAUAGCUCAUCUUUUGUCAAUUCCUUGAAUAGAAAAGCUACUUUAUGGCCAUGGCACUGCCAGUACCUCAGCUGGAGGCAGGAGCUGAAUGAGGUCAAAACGGAGCUGUUAACUCAGCAAAGGCCUCAAGGAGACAGAGAGACUCCUCUAGUUCCGGCCAUCUCCUCCUUUGUCUCGUCCUGUCCGGGCUCAUAGCUUGCAUCCUCUUUAGACCCUUCUUCCCAAGUAGACCCCUAGCAAAAGCGUCUCCCGGCAGUGUCCAAGAGGCACUGCUCUGGCAACGCUGGCUGUCUUGUCAUGCCCAUGGCCACCUUCAGUCCAGAGGCCUGUGGGAGAUCAUGGGGGACCAAGGGAUUCUCAGGGAUUCCUUGGAGGAGCCAAGGGAGACAUCCUUCCACUGGGCUUCUUCAGGCUGGAGACUCUUGUGGCUCCUCCAGGUCUUCAGCUGAAGUGGGGUUUUCUGUGGGGCCUUGAAGACUUUUCCUCCAAAAUAGGUCCCCCUGGUCUAUGUCAGAUACGAUCCUGAGUUUACCUCGGGAUGCUUCCAGAAUGUUGCUAUUUUGUGGGUGGGAUUCAACAGCACACCAGCAAAUUCAGCCAGGACAACUAAAGUGGUUUUGGAGCUCUUGCACAACAAGCCUGCUUUUUUAAAAAGCAACAGUCUUUCUGAGGAACCUCAACAUGUGGUAUUCCAUCCAAUUUGAAACCAUACUGGACCCUGCUAAGUUCUGCAAAUGUGCUGGCAGUUUUAUUGCUGCACCAAUUCAUCACUUAAUCACCUCCUUAUUCUGCGCUAUUUCCCAGGAUCAACAAAGGCAAGGUGCAUUCAGAUAUCUACAAGGAAUAAACAUCACUUUCCCAUGCCAACAAGUGGCUGGAAUCCCGUAACCACAACCAGGCUCCUGCUGAUCUCUACUACAGGGAUCACCUGGUCCUUGGUCACUGCCAUCACAAUACUAUGGAACAUUCCAGUUUUAUUUCAGUUCUUAACUGGCAUCAUUCUUUGAACUUGGGAGUAAGGCAACAACACACUAAAACUAUAUGAUAAAAAUAUAACCUACCAAUAUGAAUGAUAAAAAUUAUUCCUGGCAAGUGGGGGAAGAGUUUUCUGGCUCCAGGUUGUCUACACCAAAUGGAAAAUGUAGUGGCAGAAUAUAUCUCCCAGACAGACUGACAAAUAGCAAAAUCUGGCACUGCAGGCAGGUCUGUUGCAUCCGUCAUUCCCCAGGGAUUCCACAUCCAAGUGAUUCUGUACCCAUCCCUCUGACCUCUGGGUUUCCCCACCUGACUUGCCACUGCUCUUUCCUUGUCAGCCUUGUGACACU